rnacentral:rRNA from 1 species
UACGUAGGGUGCGAGCGUUGUCCGGAAUUAUUGGGCGUAAAGGGCUCGUAGGCGGUCUGUUGCGUCGGGAGUGAAAACUCAGGGCUUAACCCUGAGCCUGCUUCCGAUACGGGCAGACUAGAGGUAUGCAGGGGAGAACGGAAUUCCUGGUGUAGCGGUGAAAUGCGCAGAUAUCAGGAGGAACACCGGUGGCGAAGGCGGAUCUCUGGGCCUUGCCUGACGCUGAGGCGCGAAAGCUAGGGGAGCGAACAGG